rnacentral:rRNA from 1 species
GAACGCUGGCGGCAGGCCUAACACCUGCAAGUCGAACGGUAACAGGAAACAGCUUGCUGUUUCGCUGACGAGUGGCGGACGGGUGAGUAAUGUCUGGGAAACUGCCUGAUGGAGGGGGAUAACUACUGGAAACGGUAGCUAAUACCGCAUAACGUCGCAAGACCAAAGAGGGGGACCCUCGGGCCUCUUGCCAUCGGAUGUGCCCAGAUGGGAUUAGCUUGUUGGUGGGGUAACGGCUCACCAAGGCGACGAUCCCUAGCUGGUCUGAGAGGAUGACCAGCCACACUGGAACUGAGACACGGUCCAGACUCCCACGGGAGGCAGCAGUGGGGAAUAUUGCACAAUGGGCGCAAGCCUGAUGCAGCCAUGCCGCGUGUAUGAAGAAGGCCUUCGGGUUGUAAAGUACUUUCAGCGGGGAGGAAGGGAGUAAAGUUAAUACCUUUGCUCAUUGACGUUACCCGCAGAAGAAGCACCGGCUAACUCCGUG